rnacentral:rRNA from 1 species
GAAUGAACAGGGAUCAGCUCAGCAUGGAAAUUGGGGCCUCUGGCCUUGAAUUGUAGUCUUGAGAUGGCUUCGCCAGCGGAGGCGCAGAUGUAAGCCUCUUGGAAAAGAGCAUCAAUGAGGGUGAGAGUCCCGUUUGUCAUCUGCAGUCCCCCGUGCACGGCUUGCUUUCUAAGAGUCACGUUCCUUGGGAUUGGAGCGCAAAUUGGGUGGUAAAUUUCAUCUAAAGCUAAAUAUUGGUUCGAGACCGAUAGCAAACAAGUACCAUGAGGGAAAGGUGAAAAGGACUUUGAAAAGAGAGUUAAAAGUGCCUGAAAUUGCUGAAAGGGAAGCGAAUGGAACCAGUUUUUCUUGGCGAGAUUGUUGCGUGCUAAUGUGAUGGCUUGUUGCUUCAACGCAAGUGUUGCAGCGGGUUUUGAUCUGACGUG